CGAAGGGGAGGCAAGCGUUGUUCGGAAUUACUGGGCGUAAAGGGCGCGUAGGCGGUGCGGUAAGUCACCUGUGAAAUCUCCUGGCUCAACUGGGAGCUUGCAGGCGAAACUGCCGUGCUGGAGUGUGGGAGAGGUGCGUGGAAUUCCUGGUGUAGCGGUGAAAUGCGUAGAUAUCGGAAGGAACACCAGUGGCGAAAGCGGCUUCCUGGUCCAGCACCGACGUCAGGCACGAAAGCGUGGGGGAGCAAACAGG
rnacentral:rRNA from 1 species